rnacentral:rRNA from 1 species
CCUACGGGAGGCAGCAGUGAGGAAUAUUGGUCAAUGGACGGAAGUCUGCACCAGCCAUGCCGCGUGCAUGAAGACGGCUCUAUGGGUUGUAAACUGCUUUUGUACAAGGGUAAACCUGAAUACGUGUAUUCAGCUGAAAGUACUGUACGAAUAAGGAUCGGCUAACUCCGUGCCAGCAGCCGCGGUAAUACGGAGGGUCCAAGCGUUAUCCGGAUUUAUUGGGUUUAACGGGUGCGUAGGCGGAUUGAUAAGUUAGAGGUGAAAUGUCCGGGCUCAACUCGGGAACUGCCUCGAAUACUGUUGAUCUAGAGAGUAGAUGCGGUAGGCGGAAUGUAUGGUGUAGCGGGGAAAUGCUUAGAGAUCAUACAGAACACCGAUUGCGAAGGCAGCUUACCAAUCUAUAUCUGACGUUGAGGCACGAAAGCGUGGGGAGCAAACAGGAUUAGAUACCCCGGUAGUC